rnacentral:lncRNA from 1 species
UGGAGAGGUACAGAAGACACCGGAGGCAGUCGGUCGUCAUAGAAAUUCGUCUGCUGGAGCCCAUCCGUUGCGGAAGCUCGUUUGAAAUCCACUUGCUGUAGAAGUUCAGACGAAGACCGACUGCCGUGGAAGCCCGGAUAGAGGCCGCUUACGGUAGAAGCUUGGAUGGAGAUCGGUUGCCGUGGAAGCCCGGAUGGAGGCCACUUACGGUAGAAGCUCGGAUGGAGACUGGUUGCCGUGGA